rnacentral:rRNA from 1 species
UACGUAGGGGGCUAGCGUUGUCCGGAAUCAUUGGGCGUAAAGCGCGUGUAGGCGGCCCAGUAAGUCCGCUCUGAAAGCCCGGGGCUCAACCCCGGGAGGCGGGUGGAUACUGCUGGGCUCGAGUCCGGAAGAGGCGAGUGGAAUUCCUGGUGUAGGCGGUGAAAUGGCGCAGGAUAGUCAGGAGGAACACCGAUUGCGAAAGGC